UUUGGCUCAACUCCUGCCCAGCUCCCAACCGCCUUUGUAGGCCCCGAACUUUCUCCAGCCAAGCUCUGAGGGCCCACCUCCUGCCUCCUGGUGGCCUGUACAGUUCUAGCACUGGUUGGAGAACAGCCUCUGCAGGCCCCGCCCUUGCCUCCCAGGGGCCUCUCCAGGCCCAGCUCUUGCCCCCACGGCGGCCUCCCGGGGCCAAGUCCCUGCCUGCCUCCCAGCAGCCCGCGUGCGGCCCAGCUCCUCCCUCACGGUGGCCUGUUGAUGCCCAACUCAUGCCUCUGGCACCCUGCCCAGAGGCGUGAGCCCCUGCCUCACACUGGCUCCUCCCACGCUGAGAGAGGUCAGUGUGAGCCCUUGCCUCACACCGGCCCCUCCCACGCGGACAGAGGUCAGCGUGAGCCCCUUGCCUCACACCGGCCCCUCCCACGCUGAGAGAGGUCAGUGUGAGCCCUUGCCUCACCCCGGCCCCUCCCACGUGGACAGAGGUCAGCGUGAGCCCCUUGUCUCACACCGGCCCCUCCCACGCUGAGAGAGGUCAGUGUGAGCCCUUGCCUC
ensembl:lncRNA LINC01002 long intergenic non-protein coding RNA 1002